rnacentral:lncRNA from 1 species
UCAACACAAGCAAGUAAUGGUAAGGGCAGAUUCAUGUAAAAGAAGGCUUGGUGGAAGGUGAAUAUCUUUUCUCCUUGGAUGAUGGAUGAUGGAUUCUGGAAUGGGUGCAAGUUAAUUGGUGGAGAUAAGUUCUUCGGUUCACUUUUGCACUCAGUGGGUUACCCAAUUUUAACGGUUGUGUAUAUCCGGUGACCAUUAUGACUAUUACUAUGACCAUGUGGCUGAUUUUGAGUAUUACUAUAAGCAGGAGGGAAUGAUCCUGAGAGGUGACACGUCUGCUCCACGUGUGCAUGACUGGGCCCACAUGUCUGGCAUCUGGCAAAAGGCAAACUAUACGUGUGUAAGCAAGCCGUUAAUUAGGUGCACACCUAACUCCCAACUUAAUUUGUCUUUCCUGAAAGCAACAGAACUGAUCAUAUCCAUUCUGUACACGUAGGCACUAAUCUGUAGGGAAUAUGCAUAUACAGUCUAUAUGUAAACACUACUCCUCUACAAGAAGGAAAAAAAAUGCAUACUGACAUAAUCACAUUCUUGACACAUGUUACAAGCUACUAGAUUCUGAGCCAUGAAUUGUGACAGGAGCACCAAGAGCCAUGAUGAUGACAACAACAGCUAGCAAUGUGCAUAUUUCAGUGACUAGGUAUUUAAAAGCCCCAUCACUUACUUCCAUUUCCAUGGCAGAGUGGAGCUGCCGGCCAACUAUCCAUGGAGUCGAUGCAUUUGAUGCAUAGCCUUGCUAGCUAGCUAGCUCCCGUCGAAAGGUGGCCUAUGGAGAAGGAUAGUGCCUGCCUGCCCUAGAUUUUCCUGCAAACGUUGAGAGCCCAUCUUGAAACGCACGAGCAAAGGAAACUCAA